rnacentral:rRNA from 1 species
UACAGAGGUCUCAAGCGUUGUUCGGAUUCAUUGGGCGUAAAGGGUGCGUAGGCGGCGCGGUAAGUCGGGUGUGAAAUCUCGGAGCUUAACUCCGAAACUGCAUUCGAUACUGCCGUGCUUGAGGACUGGAGAGGAGACUGGAAUUUACGGUGUAGCGGUGAAAUGCGUAGAUAUCGUAAGGAAGACCAGUGGCGAAGGCGGGUCUCUGGACAGUUCCUGCCGCUGAGGCACGAAGGUCAGGGGAGCAAACGGG